UCCACCAUCUUCUCCCAGAUCAGGUACCAAAACCUUUUGAUGCUCUCCUUCCAUAGCUCAGUAAAUUUCUUCUAGCAUGUAAUAUUUGUCAUAGAGUUUGUAUGGGCCUAUGUGAAUUGAGAUUGUUAACUAAUUUGUAGAGAUAAUACUCCUUUAGAAUCAUAAGAGACAUAUAAAGCAAAAGUGUAUUAGUAUAUCCCACCUCACGCAAGCUGUUGUAUCUGUCCAUACAUGAGCAAUAGUCAUCAAAGGGCUCGUCCAUAAUGCGGCUGCUAUUUUGCUAGAUUUUCUUCAUCUGCAUAUUGACA
rnacentral:lncRNA from 1 species